UACGUAGGGGGCUAGCGUUGUCCGGAUUUAUUGGGCGUAAAGAGCGUGUAGGCGGCCAUGUAGGUCCGGUGUGAAAACUCGAGGCUUAACCUCGAGAUGUCAUCGGAAACCAUUUGGCUAGAGUCCGGAAGAGGAGAGUGGAAUUCCUGGUGUAGCGGUGAAAUGCGCAGAUAUCGGGAAGAACACCAAUGGCGAAAGCAGCUCUCUGGGACGGUACUGACGCUGAGACGCGAAAGCGUGGGGAGCGAACAGG
rnacentral:rRNA from 1 species